rnacentral:piRNA from 1 species
UCCAACAGCAAGACAGAAAGCAGCAGUGCAA